rnacentral:lncRNA from 1 species
UAAAUUAUAAUCAAGUGAUUGUAUGAAGACGCGCAUGCGUGUUUUCCACUGUGUGUAAUUUAUACCAUUAAAUAGUGGAGGUCUAUCAAUCAAUUGUCCUUCUCCUAAAAAACUAUCUAUUUGAGUUGUCAUGAUCUUUGGCUUUUUGACAGUUAGGUCAAAAUCAACAGAUAAGAAAUUAUAGAGCACCUGCUCUGAUACCACUUGUUGCCCAAGUUGACAACCCAAGAGGG